AACAAACGCUGGCGGCGUGCCUAAUACAUGCAAGUCGAACGGGGAAAGGCUUCGGCCGAGUACUAGUGGCGCACGGGUGAGUAACGCGUGGAUAAUCUGCCUUCAAGUGGGGGAUAACUAUCCGAAAGGAUAGCUAAUACCGCAUAAGACCACAGGAUCUCAGGGUCCCGAGGUAAAAGGUUUUUCGCUUGAAGAUGAGUCCGCGUGAGAUUAGCUAGUUGGUGAGGUAAUGGCUCACCAAGGCGACGAUCUCUAGCUGGUCUGAGAGGAUGAUCAGUCACACUGGAACUGAGACACGGUCCAGACUCCUACGGGUGGCAG
rnacentral:rRNA from 1 species